AGUGGGGAAGGCUUGCAGAGGCAGCUCCUUUUGGGCCUUGGGGAGCAUGUGACAGAUGAUGACCUUUUAUCUCAAGACCACAAGACAGUCAGAGAAAGGAGCCACACAGCCAGCUGUUAUCCUGGUUGCUGUGGGGAGUGGUCCAGGAUAGUGCUAGUAAGAGUGAUAAUGGUACAGAGGCUGCUGUGGUGUCCAGAUGAGAGAUGGACAGCUAACAAGCUCUCCCUAUUAUGUCAAUAAGGACCACGAGGCCACCCUUAAAGAAACUGGAAAAUGCUUUGCUUUGUUAUUUUAAAUAUUUUCAUUUAUACUCUGCAAUGUAAAUAUAUUAAUAUUUUCAUUAAAAAUACCCCACAGUUAUAUAAAGAGUGAAAAUUCCACUAACCACUCACAUACAGCCCCACUACUCUCCCCAGAACCAAAUAGGCCCAUAGCUGGCUUCUCCAGCCACCGUGCCACAGGCUGCUGGCAGCCUGGCCCCCUCUCCCUUCUCCACACUGUUGGCAACGGCUUCCCUCAGUUCUCCAGCACAGGUUACAUCUCUCUCAGCUAGCCUGAGUAUUCUUUUUCAGAGCAACCUGAUUAUUUUGUUCUAGAAAAAGCACAACCUGUAAUUAUUUGUUCACUUGAGUAUAAUCUGACUCCUCCAUUAUAAUAAACCCUCUGAGGCAGCAACGUGGUCUCAGUGUUUCUGCCCCAGUGCUUGAAACAAACAUGAUGUAAGGGAGAAGCGCAGUAAAGGGCUGACAGCUUCUACUGGGCAAGCUUUGGGGUGCAAAUAUUCACAUUUUUUUUCUCUCCACACGCGAGGUCUUUCCCUCUCUCUCUAGUUGACCCUCAUUAUUCAUGGAUUUCUUAUUUGUGAAUCUACCUACUCACCAACAUUUAUUGGUAACCCUCAAAUCAACCCUCUCAAGUGCACAGAGAAGUGAAAAGUUUGUGUCUUCAGAGCACAUGCCCCCAGCUGCAUGAGGUGAAAGUUUGUCUUCAGAGCACAUGCUUCCAGCUGAAUGAGGCGAAAGUUUGUCUUCAGAGCACAUGCUCCAAGAUGAAUGAGGUGAAAGUUUGUCUUCAGAGCACAUGCUUCCAGCUGAAUGAGUGAAAGUUUGUCUUCAGAGCACAUGCUUCCAGCUGAAUGAGGCGAAAGUUUGUCUUCAGAGCACAUGCUCCAAGAUGAAUGAGGUGAAAGUUUGUCUUCAGAGCACAUGCUUCCAGCUGAAUGAGUGAAAGUUUGUCUUCAGAGCACAUGCUUCCAGCUGAAUGAGUGAAAGUUUGUCUUCAGUGCACAUGCUCCCAGCUGAAUGAGGCGAAAGUUUGUCUUCAGUGCACAUGCUCCCAGAUGAAUGAGUGAAAGUUUGUCUUCAGAGCACAUGCUUCCAGCUGAAUGAGGUGAAAGUUUGUCUUCAGUGCACAUGCUUCCAGCUGAAUGAGUGAAAGUUUGUCUUCAGUGCACAUGCUCCAAGAUGAAUGAGGUGAAAGUUUGUCUUCAGUGCACAUGCUUCCAGCUGAAUGAGUAAAAGUUUGUCUUCAGAGCACAUGCUCCCAGCUGAAUGAGUGAAAGUUUGUCUUCAGUGCACAUGCUCCCAGCUGAAUGAGUGAAAGUUUGUCUUCAGUGCACAUGCUCCCAGCUGAAUGAGGCGAAAGUUUGUCUUCAGAGCACAUGCUCCCAGAUGAAUGAGGCGAAAGUUUGUCUUCAGAGCACAUGCUCCCAGAUGAAUGAGGCGAAAGUUUGUCUUCAGAGCACAUGCUUCCAGCUGAAUGAGUGAAAGUUUGUCUUCAGUGCACAUGCUUCCAGCUGAAUGAGUGAAAGUUUGUCUUCAGAGCACAUGCUUCCAGCUGAAUGAGUGAAAGUUUGUCUUCAGAGCACAUGCUUCCAGCUGAAUGAGUGAAAGUUUGUCUUCAGUGCACAUGCUCCCAGAUGAAUGAGGCGAAAGUUUGUCUUCAGUGCACAUGCUUCCAGCUGAAUGAGUGAAAGUUUGUCUUCAGAGCACAUGCUCCCAGCUGAAUGAGUGAAAGUUUGUCUUCAGUGCACAUGCUCCCAGAUGAAUGAGGCGAAAGUUUGUCUUCAGUGCACAUGCUCCCAGCUGAAUGAGUGAAAGUUUGUCUUCAGUGCACAUGCUCCCAGCUGAAUGAGUGAAAGUUUGUCUUCAGUGCACAUGCUCCCAGCUGAAUGAGGGGAAAGUUUGUCUUCAGAGCACAUGCUUCCAGCUGAAUGAGUGAAAGUUUGUCUUCAGAGCACAUGCUUCCAGCUGAAUGAGUGAAAGUUUGUCUUCAGAGCACAUGCUUCCAGCUGAAUGAGUGAGUUUGUCUUCAGAGCACAUGCUCCAAGAUGAAUGAGGUGAAAGUUUGUCUUCAGUGCACAUGCUUCCAGUUGAAUGAGUGAAAGUUUGUCUUCAGAGCACAUGCUUCCAGCUGAAUGAGUGAAAGUUUGUCUUCAGUGCACAUGCUCCCAGCUGAAUGAGGCGAAAGUUUGUCUUCAGUGCACAUGCUCCCAGCUGAAUGAGGUGAUGCUCGGCCUUCUGGUUUUAACUCAUACUGUAAGCAACUGUUUUCUUUUCACAGUUUAUUUUUUAUUUUUUAUUUUAUUUUA
rnacentral:lncRNA from 10 species